CUUCCCUGCCCUGGGGCAGUGGAAGGGGGUACCAGUCAUGGGCCACAGAGGGCAGGCUUUUAUUGUCUAGACGCUCUGACCUGCCCUUGCUCCACCUGGGCCUCCACCAUUUGGGGCCAGGGUGUGUGCAAGAUGUCAGUUGUUGCCAUCACAGAACAUGUUACUUAUUUCACAAACUACAUGGUACCAGCAACACCAGGAAAAGCCGGAAGAUCACGUAAGUCUCCUUAGCAGCCGUUAGAAGAAAACAGUUUAAAAAUAACCAAGUACCCUCAUGCAUUGCUGGUGGGAAGAUAAAAUAAUAUAGCUGCUGUGGAAAACAGUCUGGCAGUUCUUCAAAAAUUUAAACAUUUACCAUAUGAACCAGCAAUUCCACUUCUGGGUAUAUACCCAAAAGAAUUGAAGCAGGGUCUCAGAUGCUUGCACACCUGUGUUCAUAGCAACACUAUUCACAAUGGAAAUAACCCAAAUGUCCAUUGUUGGAUGAAUGGACAAACAAAAUAUAGUAUAUCCAUACAAAGGAAUAUUAUUCAACCUUAAAAAGGAAGGAAAUCCUGCCACAUGUUAACAAUAUGGAUAAACCUUAAGGACAUUACGCUAAGUGAAAUAAGCCAGUCACUGAAGGACAGUAGAAUGAUUCUGCUUAUGAGACCCCUAGAGGAGUCCGAUUCAGAGGGACAAAGUAGAAUGGUGGUUACCAGGGCCUGGAAGGAGGGGGAAUGGGGAGUUUAAUGAGUACAAGUUUGGAAUGUUGAAAAAACUGGAGAUGGAUGGUGGUGAUGGUUGCAUAACAAACUACUUAAAAAUGGUUAAGAUGGUUAAAAAUGGUUAAGCUGGUUAAAAAAUAUAUAUCAAAAAAAAUUAAAUGGCCUGUAAUUCUGCCAUUCAGAUAACCCUGUCAGCCCAUGUGUUUGUAAUAUAUAGGUGUUAUAUAAACGUACACAUGGUUAAAAUUAAGAGAGAAAGGUGUAAAAUUAAAAAUAUAUCUGCUUCCCAAUCUCUACUGAAUCCUAGUGUCUCCACAAAAUAAAUUUUCUGGACUACAUUUAGAAAAAUAGUCUUGAGCUUUUACCUAAUGAUAAUGGUAUGAAAGUUACACUAAAUUGGUCAUGCUGUACACACAGAAAUUCCUUCCAGCGGUAUCACUGCUCUUCCUUGCCUUAACAGUUCCACAGAAUCCCAUUCUGUGGAUGGAACCAUUUCUAUAACCCUUCUGCUGUUGGUAGACCCCCGUUUCCAGCUUUGUAUGUAAUUAUUACAGUGUGAACUACCAUGAAUAUGUUUUGGCAUAGUACUCCAAAGAUAGGUCAAGUUCCUUGUAGUGAAAUUUCUGAUCUCAGAGUAUGUGCAUUUAAAGGCUUUGAUGGAUGCUGUCAGAUUGCUCUCCAACAAUAGAUGGGAGUGCUUGUUUCCUGAACCUUCAGGAAACAGUGGUGUCAUCAAGCGUUUUUGUUUUUUACCGGUCGUCAGUGUGAUAAAAGCUCUAUCAUUUUUUUUUUUUUUUUGCGGUACGCGGGCCUCUCACUGUUGUGGUCUCUCCUGUUGCGGAGCACAGGCUCCGGACGCACAGGCUCAGCGGCCAUGGCUCACGGGCCCAGCCGCUCCACGGCAUGUGGGAUCUUCCCGGACCGGGGCACGAACCCGUGUCCCCUGCAUCGGCAGGCGGACUCUCAACCACUGCGCCACCAGGGAAGCCCAAGCUCUAUCAUUUUGAUUUGCUAUUUCUUGAGCACUCGUCUGGCCUGAGCUAUAAGGUAAGCCCUGUGCCUGUGUUAUCACAUUUUAGCCUCACACUCCUGAGGCAUCACUGAAAUUAGCCGCAUUUCACAGAUGAGCUAAUAGUCUUCAUCUGUCCAAGAUUUCUCAUCCUAGAGUUUGUGUGUGUUCUUAACUGUGAUCUCUGCACAAUUUUAUAGUCUGUUAAGGAAAAAGUGGGCUCUAAGCACCCCUUGCUGUCCAUCUUAAUCCUCAGUCUCGCUGGAUUUAAGGGCUGCCAAACCGUCUGGCAAGGGCAGCAUCAGAGCCGGCCACUUAAAUCUUCCAGUGUCUGUCUCUUUAUAAACAACCCUGUGGUGACCUCCGUUGUGCUCACAGCUUUUUCCUUCUUUGGGUAAAUUCCCAGGAGGGGAAUUUCAGAGUGAAAGGAUAUAGUGAUCUGUUUUGGAACUUUCAAGGGGGCUGACUAGCUGGUCCUGUUUCUGUGAAGCGAAUCUGUAAGCUCAGGCCAGCCCUGUGGCCUCCCUGUUUCUGGUUGGUGUGCCCCAGCUGCCCCAGUCUACCUAGGGAGUCCAUCCAUUGGCUUCAGGUUAGGGGUGAACCAGGAGAUUCCCAGUCUCUGGAACUCCCAUCUCACUUCCUCUUGCUGGAGUGGGAGCUUAUGGUGGACUGGUGGACUCUGGUGAGGUCUGCGGAGGCCUCUACCUUUGCUUUCUCAGGCCUUUGGGAUUUGGGGACCUCUUCCCUCAUGGGACAGCCCUUGCUGGCUGUGUGUGUGUGUGUGUGUGUGUGUGUGUGUGUGUGUCAGUGGUGAUUGCGGGCUACUUGUGUCCUCUCUGAGCCUCCAUCCUUCUUUCAGUCCCUCCUUGGAGGAAUUCCACCCUCCCCACUACGAGGGCUGAGCCUCUCAAAGGGAGGGCCUGUCCCUACCACAAGGUAGAAGGCUCAGGUCAAUGGCCUGUCACUGGCUACUUAACCUCUCUGUGCCUCCAUCUUCUUUUGGAAGAGAACUUAGGGAGUCGGGACCCCUCUCUGGGUCGUCCAGUGUGUGGGGCUUUGUGGCAGGGCUGUCAGCAUUGGAGCCUUUGGGUGGGUCGUGUGGGAGGGGAGUGGCCUCCCAAGGCUAAACCUUGGUCCUUUUGGGGUCAGCAUCCUUGUGGACAUGAGCCCUGCCCUCUGGCCCCCUUUGGUGCUGGAUGAACAGAUUUGCCCUGAGCCCCUCUCAGUGCCAGGUUUAGUCCUACAUGGGUCUGUGGCCCAGAGAAAUUAUUUUUAAUUUUUGGAUCAUUUUCCACUUAUGACUUCAGUCCACUCUACCCACCGGCCCAUCUCCCUUGUCAGGCCCCUGGGGCAGUGGGGAUUUUGUCCAGGAAUUGAGAGGGAAUGGUAGCAAGCAGGAAUCUUUUCUGAGAGAGGCCUCUGCCCUCCCGCCUGGGUGGUGCCCAGACUGAAGCCCCAUCCUUGAUGGGCUGAAACAAGCUGAUCUCCAAAGCCCCACAGGCCCCUACGGCUCCCCAGUCCCAUGCUGCUGCUUUGCUGAGCUUGAUGGUGUUUGACGGGAAGGGACAGAGAUGACCCCUAUGCACAGUCCCCAUCUGGAGCUACUCUAACCAGCCGUGUUGACCAGAAAGACAGCUUCUGUCAGCUUAGGGGAGGCCAGAGGGAGCCACCUCAGAGGACAAGGCCAUGUGAAGACCCCUAACCAAAUAUAGGAGAACCGCCUCCCCUGAAGAAUAAUUGUGCCAGGGCACUAGGGCCAGAGCCUGCCUAGGGGACAGAUAAGUUUUUCCUUUCUUUUUAAAUAAAAAUGUAAAAUUUGUAAAAUAUAGCAUAUAUAUAGAAGUAUAUGAAAAUAUGUAGAAACACACAUGUACACUUUAUCCAGGACAAGAAAUAGAACAUUUUCACAAUCCCAGAAGACCCGUUGUGCUCAAAACUGAUAACAUCCCAUUCCCUCCCUCCUUCUGCCUGCCUUUCCCCACUACCCCAGCCAGAGGUAACCACUAUUUUGAAUCUUGUUUUUAUAUACUUCCUUUACUUUCUGACCCUGGAAGUUCAAGUGAACCUUCAACAGAUAGCUCAUUUUUCUUACCUGUAAUAUUGUUUUUCCAUUUUAUUUUCACUUUUACCAUGUUUUUAUCCUAAAUAAUACAUUUAUUUGCUGUUCUUGAACUUAAUGUAAAUAGAAUCAUGUUGUCUAUAUUUUUCCAUGAUACCCUUACUUAACAUUAUUUUAAAUAUUGAUUCAUAUUAAUACUCCUAUAGCUUCAUUUUUAAUUGAUAGACAUUAUUUUUAGAACAGUUUUAGAUUUAGAGAAAAAUUGAGUAGAUAGUACAGAGAAUACCCAUAUACCUUGCACACAGUUUUCCCUGCUAACAUCUUACAUUAGUAUGGCAUGUUUAUUACAAUGAAUGAAGACUGAUACAUUAUUAUUAACAAAAGUCCAUAGUUUAUUCAAGUUUCCUUUAGUAUUUACCUUAUGUCCUUUUUUGGUUCCAGGGUUCCAUCCAGGGUAGCACAUUACAUUUAGACAUCAUCAUGUCUCCUUAGGUUCCUCUUGGCUGUGAAAGUUUUUCAGAGUAUCCUUUUUUUUUUUUGAUAACUUUCCUUGAAAAUUUGGUGAGGAGUGGUCAGGCAUUUGUAGGAUGCUACGUUCAUUUUUCAUUGCUAUAUAAUAUUCCACUGGGUGUAUCCAACACCCCCAUCUUAUUAAUUCUGCCAAUGACAGACAUUUUAGUUUCUAGUUUUUUUCAAACAGUGCUGCUAUGUAUGUUUUCAUAUGUGACUUCUGUGCAUAAGCACAGGCUUGUGUAGGGUUACACUCAGAGGUGGAACUGAUGGGUGUAAGGUAUGCACGUGUUCAGUUUUACCAGAUAUUGUCAAACUGUUUUCCAAAGAAGUUGUACAAAUUUACAUGCACACCCACACCUGCAGUCCUUUGUCCUAUUUCCUCACUGGCAUUUGGUAUUGUCAAACCUUAAUUUUCUCCUGGAUGUGGGAUGACAUAGUGAUUUUAAUUUACAAGUUUCUGUUUUUGUAACAAGAUUGAACAUCAUUUCAUAUAUCUAGGAAUUACUUGUGCUUCCUCUUCUGUGAAAAAAAUUUUUGCCCAUUUUUCUAUUGAGUUAUUUAUUUUUCUUGUUAAUUCACAGAAGUUCUUUAUAUAUUCUGGAUGUAAUUCAGAAUACGAGUUGCAGAUACCUUCUUCCAGUUUGUGACUUGCCUUUUCAUUCUCUUUUUUAACAUUCACCUUUUUGUUUUUUCAUCUUUGGAAGUCAGAGCUAUGCUAUCUCCAGCCUUCUUUAUUUAUUUUUUGGAAAUAUUUAUUUAUUUUUGGCUGUGUUGGGUCUUAGUUGAGGCACACGGGAUCUUUUGUUGUGGCGUGCGGGCUUCUGUCUAGUUGCAGCGUGCAUGCUCUCUUGUGGUGCGUGGUGUGUAGGCUCUGUAGUUGUGGUAUGUGGGCUUAGUUGCCCUGCAGCAUGUGGGAUCUUAGUUCCCUGACCAGGGAUCAAACCUGCAUCCCCUGCAUUGGAAGGCGGAUUCUUAACCACUGGACCACCAGGGAAGUCCCCUUCACUCUCUUUAAUAGUAUCUUUUUUUUUUUUUAAGACUUAUUUAUUUUUUGGCUGCGUUGGGUCUUCAUUGCUGUGCACGGGCUUUCUCUAGUUGUGGCGAGUGGGGGCUACUCUUCGUUGCAGUGUGAGGCCUUCUCAUUGCAGUGGCUUCUCUUGUUGCGGAUCACAGGCUGUAGGCGCGCAGGCUUCAGUAGUUGUGGCACAUAGGCUUCAGUAGUUGUGGUUUGCAGGCUCUAGAGCACAGGCUCAGUAGUUGUGGCACACGGGCUUAGUUGCUCCGCGGCAUGUAGGAUCUUCCCAGACCAGGGCUCAAACCUGUGUUUGAGCAGGCAGAUUCUUAACCACUGCGCCACCAGGGAAGCCCCAAUAGUAUCUUUUGAUUAACAGAGGGUCUUAAUUUUAAUGUACUUGAAUUUACCAAUCUUUUUCUUUAUGGUUGUAUUUCCUUCAUUCCUUCCCUCCUCCCUCCCUCCUUCUUUCCUUCCUUCCUUCCUUUCCUGUUGUUUUUUGGCCACACCGUGUAGCUUGUGGGAUCUCAGUUCCCCAACCGGGGAUUAAACCUGGGCCACGGCAGUGAAAGCCCAGAAUCCUAACCACUGGGCCACCAGGGAAUUCCCUAUGGUUGUAUUUUUUAAUUCUUAUGAAAUCUUUCCUCAUCUCAGAGUCAAAAAUUUAUUCUCUUAUAUGUACGGUGUGAGGUAGGGAUCCAAUUUUAUUGAUUUUUAAAAAUUUAGGUUUAAACAUGCAUAACCACCAGGUAUUAAAAAAUUACCUGCUUUUUCCACUGAUUAAUGCCAACUGGGUUACAAAUCAGGUGUUCGAAAUGAGCAACUCUGUUUCUAAGCUCUCUUUUCCAUACCGUGGGUCAGUUUUUCUAUCCCAGCACCUAUACCUCAUUGUCUUAAUUUUACUGUAGCUUUAUAAAAUUUAUUGAUAUUUGGAAGGGCAGGACCCCUUGAUCUUAUUCUUAGACGUGUUCUGGCUAUUCUUAGCUCUUUGCACUUCCAUUAAAUUGUUAGUAUCAGAUGGUCUAAUAUAUUUUCUAAAGUUAGAUUCACAAUUUUCAAAAGGGCAUAAGGUGAAACUUCCCCGUCUUCUUUCUUCUCCUAAUUCCCUCCUCAGAAGCAAUCGUAAUUACUAGUUUUGUGUGUAGUUUUUCAGAAAUAAUUUGAAAUUGCAUGUUUGUAUAUAUACUAUACCACCCCCCGUUUUGUACCUGCACUGUUCAUCGGCAGAGUUUAUUUAAAAAGUAAACUUUUCGUAUUCAGUGAAAUCUUUCUUAAUAGGUCAUGAUGUAUAAAUAUCAAAGACAUAAAAAUGUUAAACUUUGUACACUUUUAGUCCUGAAUUAAAACCAUUUUGAUUUUAAGUAAGUUUAACUUACAAAAUGUAUUUUAUAAUUUCUACAAAUUUUGACGAAAAAGCAGCCAAUUUCAGCUCCUCCAGCACUUCCUAGCUGACUGCUGGACGUGUUUGUAUCUCUUCCUGCUGCUGGAAUCAAGUAGAAGCACGGAUUGCUUUUCAAAAUAGAAAUAUCUGGGUCAUGCAGAAAUCACUCUCUCAAAAACAGCAACAGGAAUAACAUUUAGUAUGUUCUUAUAAUGUUACUGUUGAUUAUAUUUGGGGUUGGUUCUAUCGUCUUCUAUUAUCCUUUCUAUCCUUAUUUUUUUAAUCUUUUUAGAUUUCUUUCAUUUUUGUCCUUCUGUUGAUUUGUUAGUCUUGCCUCUAUUUCUGUCAUUUAGUGUUUACCCUAGGAAGUAGCAACAUACUUACCAGUGUAUCUAUGUCUGGAGCUAGCCAGUGACUUUACCAUGCUCCUGGGUGACAGAGGCCUGCAUAUCACUUAGAUUGCUUACCCCUGCCCCCCAUCUAGAGUUUCCCUUAGUGUGAGUCUGCUGGUGAAGAAUUCUGUUUUUGUUUGUCUGAAAAUAUUUGACUUUGAUUCUUUAAUUACUGUAUAUUUUCUCCAGGUUUAGAAUUCUAGGUUGCCAGUAAUUUCAGCACAUGAAGCUGUCAUCUCACUGUUUUCUGGCCUCCACUAACUGUUGUGAAGUCAGCAGUAGGCUGUCACUCUUUAAAGGUAGUGCCUUUUUUUUUUUUUUUUUGCCCUCUGUUGCUUUUAAGAUUUUCUCUGUCUUGGCUUCUCUGCAGGUCACUAUACUAUUUCUAGGGCCGGAUUUCUUGUUAUUUACACUUUUUGUGAUUUGUUGGGAUUCUUGCAUCUGUAUUGUCAUUUCUAGAAAAUUCUCAGCCAUUACCUCUUCAAAUAAUACUUCUCUCAUACUCUCGUCUUCUGAAACUAUGAUAAAAUGUAUAUUUGACUUUGUCACCUUUCUCAGUCUAUCUUCCAGGUAUUUUUACCUUUCUUCUGUAUUUUCUAGCUUUUUUUUCCUUUCUCUGCUGCAUUCUGCUGUAUUUUCUUUUCAUCUGUCUUCCACUUCAUUUGUUAUUUUGCAGUGUCCACUUUGAUACCACGUCCAUCCAUCCAUUAAGUUUUUAGUUUUGGUUCUUAUACUUUUCAUUUCUAGGGUUCCAUUUAACUUCCCUCUCUGCUAUGUUCCCUUUUUUUUUUUGGCUGCACUGCAGCAUGUGGGAUCUUAGUUCCCAGACCAGGGAUCGAACCUGUGCCCCCUGCAGUGGAAGCAUGGAGUCUUAACCACUGGACCGCCAGGAAAGUCCCUAUGUUAACUUCUUUUUUCUUUAAAGAUUUUUUUUUGAUAUGGACCAUUUUUUAAAGUCUUUAUUGAAUUUGUUAACAAUGUUGCUUCUGUUUUAUGUUUUGUUUUUUGGCCGUGAGGCAUGUGGGAUCUUAGCUCCCCAACCAGGGAUCAAACCUGCACCCCCUGCAUUGGAAGGUGAAGUCUCAACCACUGGACUGCCAGGGAAGUCCCCCUAUGUUCACUUUUAAUAAUUGCUGUGUCCUGCAGAUUUUCAUCUAUUUUUCUUUAAGCAAAAUUUUUGCCUGGAAAUUCUGGACCACCUUAUAGUUCUUUGAUGCUUCUAUGAGGAUUUUUUAAAAAUUUGGUGAGUGGCCGAGAUGGUGGAAUAAGACCCUGAGCUCAUCUCCUUCCACGGGCACACCAGAACUACAACUGUUUAUACGCAGCAACUAUUGAUGAGAAUGACAUGAAGACUAGCAGAAAAGAUCUUCUGCAACUAAAGAUAAAAUGAAGGAACCAUGAGACAAAUAGGAAGGGUGGAGACGCAGUAUAGUCAAGACCUAUACCCCCAGGUUGGUGCUUUUCUUUUGCAAACAUCCUGGUAUGGCUCUUCCAGCACUUGUGAGGAAUCCCUAAGAAGUACGCGGGCCUCUCACUGCUGUGGCCUCUCCCGUUGCGGAGCACAGGCUACAGACAUGCAGGCUCAGCGGCCAUGGCUCACGGGCCCAGCCGCUCCACGGCACGUGGGAUCUUCCCGGACCGGGGCACGAACCCGUGUCCCCUGCAUCGGCAGGUGGACUCCCAACCACUGCGCCACCAGGGAAGCCCCUUCAUAUAUUAUUAAUAAUGUAUGACGUGUAUCAUCAUUCAUACUAAGAUGUUAAUCUCCCCUGAAUUAUUAAACUUUCAUAAAAAUAAGGUGUUCUUAUUGAUCCAGUAUGACCAUUGCUCCUUUCUGUUCACUCCUAGGCAUUUUCCCUUCUCUUGUCUGACUACAGUGACUCUCCAGAACAGUGCUAAGUUGUGGGCAACAGUGGAUGGUAGCAAGAUUCUGGGACAAGUCCUUGCAGCUAACAAAGAUCAAAGGAACCAUGACAAGUUUUUGUGAAUCCUCAUCUUGGCAUUUGUGAAGGCACCUGUCAGUCUGACCAAAGCAGAACUACCUUCUCUUCCCCCAGGCCCUCCCCAACUGACAUGUGGCUGUGCUGUUAUCCUAGGCAGUGGGUGGCGUCGAGAACAGCUACCCCAGCCCACAGGUGCCACGUAAAGUCAUAUGCCCGCUGCUCUCAGGGUGCCUGACAUAAGGGGCUUACUCAUUAGUGUCAUAUAGCCAGCUCAUUUAGUGGCAGUAACCUUUAGGCUAAAGCAUCCAAAUUUCAGGGAAUACUCACGUUAGUUGAUGGAUGUUGGAAGGCAUUGGAGGAAAACACCACAGUUAGGACUGUUAAUGACUUACACACUGUUGGUUAAGACUGAUCUCGAACAUGCGCAAACAUUUGUCAUAGUAACGAUGGUGGUGGUUAGUGCCACAUUCAAAUAAAAAUAGUUCUAUACAAUAUGUUCAUUUGGUCAUGUGCUAUUUACAGAUUUUACAAAACACAUACACACACAUACACACUUGCCCUUAUGUCCUCUACACCAGGCUAAAACAGGCCAGCAGAAACUUGCAUAAAAAUGUAUCACAGAUAACAAUUAGUGCCUAUACACUAAAAAUAAAAUUCCUACAACCACCUAUGCAGCAGAACAGGAUCCUUCUUCCCCUCAAGCACAGUAAAACUAAAAGUAAAACUAAGAACUUAAGAGAAAGUUGGACAUCUGUUAGUUCAAACUAAGCCACUUAAGAGUUAAAAACAAGACAGUUAUUUUUCUCUGUCCAUUUAAAAUGUUUUAUUUUUCUUUUUAAACUAGAUUGUGAAGUGCCACUGAAAUAGGCAAUGUUGGCAAAACAAUGUCUGUUACAAUAAAAUACAUUAGACAUUUAAAUAAAUAACCUUAAAAACUAUGUGAGGGGACAUGAACCUGGUCGAUUGAAUCUGGAACAAUGUUUUCUGCACAAGCGAGAACAAGCAUACCUCUUGUUAAGACUGAUGUAAACAGAACCAUCAAAACCCUACAGGAGAAGCAGCCGAGCGGGGUGGGGGUGGAGGUGGGGUGGAGGUGAACAAGGGCCAAGGGGUGAAGGGGUGGGGGUGGGGCAAACCAAAAAAAAAUACUGACUGAGGUAGCAGUACUCUGCUCAGUGCAGAAAAAUUGGCUUAUGAAUAAAAAUUAGACUGUGAUCUCAGAUUAAAUCCAGAUGAUCAUGCAAAAGACACAAUACAUGCUAUUUAGUUUUAGAAAAAAACCACACACAUUCAUUUCCUAAAAUCUGCUGCCAAUUAAUUUGCUGACAAUGUCUGCUGGCUCAACUAUUUUUUUAUACAAGGAUGAGUAUUAAACAGAACACUGUACAUGCUUUUUCAUCUACAAAAAAAUAUUUGCAUAAAAUAGUGUUAGUUCUCUGUACAUGUCAAUGGACACUUUAAUUAUGUGUAUAAAAAAGGAAAA